rnacentral:rRNA from 1 species
AAUAACAAUACGAGUCUUAAAGUCUUGUAAUUGGAAUGACGGGAAUCUAAAACCUUUCCGGAGUAUCAAUUGGAGGGCAAGUCUGGUGCCAGCAGCCGCGGUAAUUCCAGCUCCAAUAGCGUAUAUUAAAAUUGUUGCAGUUAAAAAGCUCGUAGUUGAAUUUCUGCUGCAUCCGUGUCAUUCCUAACUGGUUUGUCACUGUUGUGGCUUUUUCUGGUGGUUGUGCUUCGGCUAGAUCUCCAGAUUGUUACUUUGAGAAAAUUAGAGUGCUUCAAGCAGGCUUUUGCCUUGAAUACUUUAGCAUGGAAUAACUAAGUAGGACUUUGGUUCUAUUUUGUUGGUUUAAGAGCCAAAGUAAUGAUUAAUAGGAACAGUUGGGGGCAUUCGUAUUUAAA